UUUUAGCCCCGAUUGAAGCGGCAUCCUUUUUUUGACGAGGUACGAGGAGAAAAAAGAUACAGCGGAAAGCGGGACCGACC
rnacentral:sRNA from 2 species